UACGAAGGGUGCAAACGUUGCUCGGAAUCAUUGGGCGUAAAGCGCACGUAGGCGGCCUCCUAAGUCGGAUGUGAAAUCCCUCGGCUCAACCGAGGACGUGCAUCCGAAACUGUGAGGCUCGAGUAUGGAAGAGGGUCGCGGAAUUCCCGGUGUAGAGGUGAAAUUCGUAGAUAUCGGGAGGAACACCAGUGGCGAAGGCGGCGACCUGGGCCAAUACUGACGCUGAGGUGCGAAAGCGUGGGGAGCAAACAGG
rnacentral:rRNA from 1 species